rnacentral:tRNA from 1 species
GUGUAGCUCAGUGGUAGAGUGGGGACUUAAUGUGCAAAAGGCCCUGGGUUCAACUCCCAGCCAACA